UCUUCUCCUCUGUCUUUCCUUUGCUGUGAUGGGUGGCAUGCAUCUCCAUCUCCAGCUCCAUCUCCAUCUCCAUCUCCAUGGAGUUCAUGUUUACAGCAGGGCUUCUCAAACUUCUUCUUUUUUUUUUUUUCUUGUGCAGCAACAAAACAACAAAACAAAAACAGCAACUUAUUGGUCCUCCUUGGUAGAGAUUUAUUUUAUGAACAUAAUCUAUCAACUAUUAUCAACUAUAUAAAUAUGAGGGGUCAUUUAUUAAAAUACUUUUACAAUAAUAUUUUUCUAGAAAUAAUAAUUUAUAGAUUAAUCCCAAAAGGAAAUUCAUGCAUUCCAUCAGCAAUCUAACAAGUAGUGCAAGCUAUAAUAAUAAUAAUAAUAAUAAUAAUAAUAAUAAUAAUAAGCUUAAAUAUAGUAUAGGAGUACAGCCCUAUAUAUACUCAAGUCCUCUGAGGAAAUGUGAGUGUUUUAUUGCCCUUAUGGAAAAUGAGAUUAUCCGAGCAUGAUAUGUGGUCACGUGUGAGAAACACGUGAAAGUGCAUUUAAACAUGUUACACCCUGGAAUUGCAUACAAGUAAAUGGACAAAACGAAUAAACCCACGUAUCGUGUAUGUACAAAAAAUAAAAUAAACGUGUGAAAAAUUCUUUUCAAAAUGGACUGUUCUUUCCAUACACUUACGUGCCCAAAACUGUCGGCACGUGUCCUUGUGUACUGAUUGUCCCCUCUGAAUGUGAGGUGUGCUACAGUAGCUACCUGAGCGCUCACAAAUGACCUUCCUGUAGUUUCAUUACAUUUCGAGACGUGUUGUAGAUAGAUUUUUUUAUUUUUUAUUUAUUUAUUUUUUGGAAUGCGUGGGAUGUAAAUGAAAGCUGAUCACAGAUGUGUGCUUCUUUGGUCUGGAGGAGGACGACCCUGGAUGACCCGUGAGGUUCUUCAUCCUAAAGUCAGCUGGGAAUUGUGGGUAUGGGGUAUUUAGGAGCACCACUUCGGUCGUACGGAGUGGUCUGAUACUUCAGUCCAGAAAGGAAUGCGAAUAAUUAAUGAUGAUGAUCAGGAUGAACAGCACAGGUGCUGUAACGAGUUUAGGGUGCGUAUUAGACGUGUCAUGGGUUUUAGUAGUUUAAAAAUAGCUCAGUAUUAAGAAUAAAAACACAUGUCGGUAUUUAUCCUGUUGUUGUUUAUAAGCUGAAAGAGACCGUGGCUGCGAUGAAAGAUGCAGCACUGCUUCGCCAAAAAUGCAUAUUUGUUUGGUUUAGUUUUGUCUGAAAUGUCUUGUUCUUGCGUGCGUUUGUGGUUCUGUUAUGUAGGAUAAAGUUAGGACCAUGAUGUCGUGGAUUACACAGCAAGAAAGGAGUCGCUGCCAGACGUAAAAGGAACUUAAUUAGGUAAAUAAAUAAAAAUAAAGCAGGCAGAAGUGUAUUUUAAUGAGUAAACCGUCAGCAGUGAUCAUACACCGUGACUAACUAUGAACCUGUAACAACUCUAUUAGGAUUCAUUUUAAGAUCCAUGAGAGAUUUAUUCUCCCCUACAUUCCUCUCACAGUCAUCUCAGCCGACUUCAUUGUUUGAGAGCAGAGGAGGAUUUCUGCUGAGGAGUUUCUGAUUCCUCACAUUCACAUUACAUUAUAACUCCAUGAGCUGCGUACAGAGCUGUUGUUUCAGGUUCAGAUCGAGGACAGAGGAUGUGAUGUGAUUUAAAGGUAGCGGAGGAAGGAAAGGGAAGGAAAAGGUGGGACUUGACAUUUUGCUUUUAAUAGGCUUUUACACAUUCCUGUGGGCAGUUUCACACAUGCUAACUGGAAUCUGCAGUUAAAUGUUGCGCUCUCGCCUCAAUUCGCAGAUUAUUUUCGUUUUCCGAGAACCCCAGCAUCUUUUCUUGGCUCGUCUACGCUCACCUCAACAGCCAGGAAGUUAUUUAAAGUGAUGAAGCACGCUGAGUGAGCUGAGAUUACCCAGAAAACCUCUCCGAUUACAUUUCACCAGAGUUACGGGGAAGAUGAUGCAGACUGGAUGUGUUGUUUGUUUAUUAUAUGUUUGUUUUUUUUGGCUAGCCAUAUUGUGGCCUCGGUGGGUUUUAGCUGCCCUCAGUGAUUGCCUGAUUACAAGUAGGUCGCUGAUGUGGUCAGAGAGGAGUAACCACACAGCGGAAACACAGAGGUAAUUACACUCGUCUGUACACACACAGACACACACACUGGUAUGGCAUCUCCUAAUCGUUCACUUCAGCGGGAUGAGCAGCUGAAGCAAUUCUUUUCAUCAUCAAAUAAUGUAAACAGAUUUUUUUUUUCUAUUAUUAUUUCAUGUUCCAUAAAAUGUAGCGAUAUUAAAUUAAAUAAACUUGACCGUGUUUAUCUUUCUAUCUCUUUAUCUACAUGUUAUUCAGUCGGUAUCCUGAACAUAGGAUACCUUACCAUAAAUCUUAAUAAGAAAAAUAAAUAAAUAAAUAAAUAAAUAAAUAAGCCAAACUUAACAGGCCUUCAUUAAACAAUGGAUUUUUUUUUUUAAUUAAUUACAGCACAGUGGAAUUCUUUUCUUCGCAUACCCCAGCAUGUUAGGAAGUUGGGGUCAGAGUGCAGGGUCAGCCAUGAUACAGCGCCCCCAUGGAGCAGAGAGGGUUAAGGGCUUCGCUCAAGGGCCCAACAGUGGCAGAUUAGCAGUGCUGGGGCUUGAACCCCCGACCUUAUGAUCAGUAACCCAGAGCCUCGUACCAAUUAUAUAUUUACAAGACACUUCCAUAAAACGCAAUGAAAUACUGGGUUAAAGUGGAUCUGAUCGUCUAGUACAAUCCGCAAGCAGCUUCUUUCCUUUCAAACAUGCAUUGUAGAUGUGCUGCUAUGAAAGACGUCCAAACUUUAAAAAAAAAAAAAAAAAUGGUAACGCUGUCUAAAGUUUUACCCUGUCCUCAAGAGAUCACGAGUUAAAAUUUCUACGAUGCCACAGCCGUCCAAAACAGCAUAACUCUGGGUGAAAGAUGUAUAGGUAAUAUAGCGAGAGGUGGAACACAAAACCAGUAAAACGGACUAUGCCCCCCCCCCCCGCAAAACUGAUUAUUCCACCUACGCUGGUAGAAAACUCCCUUUGUGAUUUGUGACUUUUUUUUUUUUUUGUUCUGAUAUAUAAAUAUAUUCAUCUCAUAAACAACCCCUGUCCCUGUUCUCCAGAAAGCCUUAAAGCAUUAGAGAGCAGUGGAAUGAGCAUAUCAGGACAGUCAAUCAUUAGUGUAAAUGAAAAUGAAACACAUAUGAAAUAACGCUGAUGCGGUCAGUCCUGUAUUCGGUCUUCAAACUGUUCCUCUACUCAACAUAUAAUACACGUACACGUCCUGUGCGUGGCUUUAAAGGCCGCACAUGUUUGCAGUGAAAUCUCUGCCGGGUUUAAAGGCUGCUAAUCAGCUUUGUAGGCACGCAGGCUGCUGUGCUGAUUACUAAAGGCUUGUCUGCGCUGCUCAUCAGAGGAAACGAACACUCAGCAGCUGUGGAUAUUUAGGUCUAAUUAUUAAUAACCUCCGGCUGACAGCAUAUGGACAUCUGUCUCCCCCAAUAUCCUUGGAUAUGAAUAUCUGCCUCAAGCCAUAUCCAGUUCUUUAGUAACAUCCCACAGACACACUGAGACUUGCUGUCAAAUCCUAAACUGUUCAUCGGUAUUCAGACUCGAUCUUAUUUUGUCACACGCACAACUACACACAGCACGACACGCAGCGAAAUGUUCAUUACGACUGUCCGGGAUAUGAAAAUAGAAUUUAUUUACAUAAGCUAGAAUUUACUAUUAUACAGGGAAAAGAAAAA